ensembl:lncRNA
CAAAAGCCGAGUUUGUGCUUGGCAAAUUUGGGGUUUAUCCCACAGUGAAAGAACCACCACAUGUUUAUAUUUUCUCUACAAAUCUUUAAUUGAGCAUUUUCACACCGGUAAUGGAAUACAUUACUUAUUCUGAAUCUCAAAACAUCACCUUUCCCUAAAUCAGCUUUGCAAGAGUGACAACAAUGAAAGCAAGAGAGAGAGAGCGCUGGGAUGCCAAUCAUAAUGGCAGCCCUCCUCAUGCUGUUGAGGUAUGCUCACAUUAUAAAACAGGAGGGGAGAUAAUCUGAUUCUCAUAUUCAAAUCACUGUUUGUCCAUAAAUCUUGAAAUAUUCAUGAAAACUCAAAUCUAUUCAAUCCCUCCGGCACCCUUGUGGGAAUUAAAGCAUAAAGUCGAGUGAGUGCGCCAGUGGCUCGCCAGAACUUGAUUUAGAAAAUCUCUUUUUGGAAGCGAUUCAUGUUUACACUCCACUGGUGUUAAGAUUCUUUCUGGCACAGCACCAUUUCAGACACUCCUUCAAAUGUGCUUUCUUGAGGGGACACUAAACUCAACCAUCAGUCCUUCUUGACUAGUGCUGCUGCGAUGCGCAAGGGGGCGCUCCGACUGUUUCUUGUGUUUGCCACCGUGGAUCCGGUGUUAUUCCUCUCUGAUGAAAACCGUGACAUUUGGUUGCUGGGAGCCGGGGAGCAGGUUUACGCCAACAGUUUGAUAGACUGUCGUUUUCAUCAGUAUAGAGUUGCCAUGAGGAAUCCCAGGCGCGUGACUGACAGCAGCGCAACAGAUUCGUUUUGGCAGCUAGGAGGCGCAUGUGGCUCACUCUUGGGAAACCAAAGCGGAGAAAACUCCAAAGACAACACACGUUGCAAGAUGAAGACGGUAGUACAGAGUCUACCUGGUUUAUAUGCAGUCGAUAUAUUAAAUGCAUCAUAUACAAAUAUAAAUUAUACAACACUAAUUGUAAAAUAUUUACAGUGAGGGGAAAAAAACGCCUUGUCUAAAGUGAGAAACAUUUGUUGUGCAGGUUUUGUGAAAUGAACUGCAAAUGUACUUGUUUUCCACUUUUUCACAUUUUUUUUAAACUGUACAUUUCAAAUUAAAUCAAAUACCUUUUAUUGUUACAUCACUAUAUGCACAAUUCAAAAAUAAAGUGAUGUGCAGGUAAAGGAUACA